rnacentral:rRNA from 1 species
UGGCGACCGGCGCACGGGUGAGUAACACGUAUCCAACCUGCCGUCUACUCUUGGACAGCCUUCUGAAAGAAAGAUUAAUACCCGAUGGCAUAGUUCUUCCGCAUGGUAGAACUAUUAAAGAAUUUCGGUCAUCGAUGGGGAUGCGUUCCAUUAGGUUGUUGGCGGGGUAACGGCCCACCAAGCCUUCGAUGGAUAGGGGUUCUGAGAGGAAGGUCCCCCACAUUGGAACUGAGACACGGUCCAAACUCCUACGGGAGGCAGCAUG